GGCCUUUUGAUUUUAAUUUAAGGUCAGGCCUGCCCACUGAUAUAAAUAUUUAAUGGCCGCGGUAUUUUGACCGUGCAAAGGUAGCAUAAUCAUUAGUUUUUUAAUUGAAAGCUGGAAUGAAGGGUUUGAUAAGAAAAAUACUGUCUUAAUUUAAUUUAAUUAGAAUUUUAUUUUUAAGUUAAAAAGCUUAAAUAAAUUUAAAAGACGAGAAGACCCUAUAGAGUUUUAUAUUUAAUUUAUUAUAGAUUAAGGGUUAAUAAAACUUUAAUAAAUUUAAGUAUUUGAUUGGGGUGAUUAAAAAAUUAAAUUAACUUUUUUUAAAUUAUUACAUAGAUUUAUGAGUAUUUGAUCCAAUUAUUUUGAUUAUAAGAUUAAAUUACCUUAGGGAUAACAGCGUAAUUUUUUUUAAGAGUUCUUAUCGAAAAAAAAGUUUGCGACCUCGAUGUUGGAUUAAAGUUAAUGUUUGGUGUAGAAGCUAUAAUUAUUAGGUCUGUUCGACCUUUAAAACUUUACA
rnacentral:rRNA from 1 species